CUGGAGGGUAAUGCACACAGAGAGAAGUGGGGACGGGCAGGCUGUCAGAGACUGAGCACCACUGGAGCAGAGAGGACCUUCAGCAGACAGAGGAGAGACAUUCCUAUUGCCACAGCAGAGAUGUUAACGGUUUCUGCCGCUCGCCUGCUGACAGCACCCAGCACCCAGCACCCAGCCACACUCCUGCGCAGGUGUUGAGCUUCCGGAGUCUCCAACUGAUUCUCUAGCAGUGUCUGUGAUCCUCUGGCUCUGACACUGAUCCUGCUCUGGGCCUUUUCAGGAAAUUGUUCAUCUCCCACCAGGCGGAGGAAAAAAGCGACCGGCGCCGUCGCCUGUAGCCACGCCCACUCGCAUGACAUCCCCCGCAGGCCACGCCCCGCGCACCUGUCCGCCAGGUUCUGCGGGAGAGAGGGGAGCUGGGUUUAGUGUCUUCGAGCAGGACUCGAUUCGCACUUAAUAAUGGGAGUAUAAACUUUGGUGUGUUCGGGCAGGACAAGCUUGGCUCAGCUGCUGGAAUCAUCAAUGAAACGAAGUUCCAGUCUUCAUUCUGGUCGCUGCCCCGACAGAUCCAUUGGAGAAACAGUAACGUGUCGUAUGUUUCUGUGCUUUUCCGUGUACUGUAGUUGCGUGCAAUUAUUUUUGUACACUGUUUAUUUGUAAAAGCUUUUAGCGUGAAUGUAUCCGUGCUUUGACACUUUGUAAUUUAAAUCCAUGUUACUUUUCACUUCAGAUCCUGUGCAUCUAUCGUAUGUAAUGGAAUGCGUUGUUUAAUGUUGCAUGCUAAUGUUUUUGUACUCUGCUUACUUGUAAAAAGUCUUUAGUGUUAAUGUAGCCUUGCUUUGACGCAUUGUAAUCUAAAAGGUGUUAAUUUUCAUUUCGAAUCUGUGCAUCGCUCGUACUGGAAUGCUUUGUUUUGUAUGCAACUUUCGCUCAAUAAAUUGUUGAUUGGA